AUACGGAGGGUGCAAGCGUUAAUCGGAAUUACUGGGCGUAAAGCGCGCGUAGGCGGUUUGGUCAGUCGGAUGUGAAAGCCCUGGGCGCAACCCAGGAAUUGCAUUCGAUACUGCCUGACUAGAGUAUGGUAGAGGGAAGUGGAAUUUCCGGUGUAGCGGUGAAAUGCGUAGAUAUCGGAAGGAACACCAGUGGCGAAGGCGACUUCCUGGGCCAAUACUGACGCUGAGGUGCGAAAGCGUGGGGAGCAAACAGGAUUAGAUACCCCGGUAGUCC
rnacentral:rRNA from 1 species